AACCUUUAUGGAGCCAGCCGCCGAAGGUGGGGCAGAUGAUUGGGGUGAAGUCGUAACAAGGUAGCCGUAUCGGAAGGUGCGGCUGGAUCACCUCCUUUCUAAGGA
rnacentral:rRNA from 1 species